rnacentral:rRNA from 1 species
AGAGUUUGAUCAUGGCUCAGGACGAACGCUGGCGGCGUGCUUAACACAUGCAAGUCGAACGGGAUUAGUUGAUUGAGAGCUUCGGCAGGAAAUCGAUUAAUUCGAGUGGCGGACGGGUGAUAACGCGUGAGCAACCUGUCCCAGACAGGGGGAUAACACUUGGAAACAGGUGCUAAUACCCAUAAGACCACGGGAUCACAUGGUUCUGGGGUAAAAGGAGCAAUCCGGUUUGGGGUGGGCCGCGUCCGAUUAGCCAGUUGGCGGGGUAACGGCCCACCAAAGCGACGAUCGGUAGCCGACUGAGAGGGUGAACGGCCACAUUGGAACUGAGAGACGGUCCAAACUCCUACGGGAGGCAGCGUGGGGAAUAUUGGGCAAUGGGCGAAAGCCUGACCCAGCAACGCCGCGUGAGUGAAGAAGCCUUCGGGUUGUAAAGCUCUGUUAUAGUUGACGAAGGAAGUGACGGUAGGCUAUAAGGAACCCCGGCUAACUACGUGCCAGCAGCCGCGGUAAUACGUAGGGGGCGAGCGUUGUCCGGAAGACUGGGCGUAAAGGGCGUGUAGGCGGUCAUUUAAGUCUGGAGUGAAAGUCCUGCAUUCAUGUGGGAAUUGCUUUGGAUACUGGAUGACUUGAGUGCGGAAGAGGUAAGUGGAAUUCCCAUGUAGCGGUGAAAUGCGUAGAGAUUGGGAGGAACACCAGUGGCGAAGGCGACUUACUGGGCGUAACUGACGCUGAGGCGCGAAAGCGUGGGGAGCGAACAGGAUUAGAUACCCUGGUAGUCACGCGGUAAACGAUGAA